rnacentral:rRNA from 1 species
CCCUUAGAUGUCCUGGGCCGCACGCGCGCUACACUGAUGCAUGCAACGAGUUUAUAACCUUGGCCUGAAAGGUCUGGGUAAUCUUUUGAACGUGCAUCGUGAUAGGGAUAGAUUAUUGCAAUUGUUAAUCUUGAACGAGGAAUUCCUAGUAAACGCGAGUCAUCAGCUCGCAUUGAUUACGUCCCUGCCCUUUGUACACACCGCCCGUCGCACCUGCCGAUUGAAUGGUUCGGUGAAGAUCUCGGACUUCGAUAUUUAUUCUUUAUUGAGUUUAUAUUGUGGGAAGUUAUCUAAACCUCAUCAUUUAGAGGAAGGUGAAGUCGUAACA